rnacentral:rRNA from 1 species
AGCGAACGCUGGCGGCAGGCCUAACAUAUGCAAGUCGAACGAACUCUUCGGAGUUAGUGGCGGACGGGUGAGUAACACGUGGGAACGUGCCUUUAGGUUCGGAAUAACUCAGGGAAACUUGUGCUAAUACCGAAUGUGCCCUUCGGGGGAAAGAUUUAUCGCCUUUAGAGCGGCCCGCGUCUGAUUAGCUAGUUGGUGAGGUAAAGGCUCACCAAGGCGACGAUCAGUAGCUGGUCUGAGAGGAUGAUCAGCCACAUUGGGACUGAGACACGGCCCAAACUCCUACGGGAGGCAGCAGUGGGGAAUCUUGCGCAAUGGGCGAAAGCCUGACGCAGCCAUGCCGCGUGAAUGAUGAAGGUCUUAGGAUUGUAAAAUUCUUUCACCGGGGACGAUAAUGACGGUACCCGGAGAAGAAGCCCCGGCUAACUUCGUG